rnacentral:rRNA from 1 species
AUUGAACGCUGGCGGCAGGCUUAACACAUGCAAGUCGAGCGGAGAUGAGGUGCUUGCACCUUAUCUUAGCGGUGGACGGGUGAGUAAUGCUUAGGAAUCUGCCUAUUAGUGGGGGACAACAUUCCGAAAGGAAUGCUAAUACCGCAUACGUCCUACGGGAGAAAGCAGGGGAUCUCCGGACCUUGCGCUAAUAGAUGAGCCUAAGUCGGAUUAGCUAGUUGGUGGGGUAAAGGCCUACCAAGGCGACGAUCUGUAGCGGGUCUGAGAGGAUGAUCAGCCACACUGGGACUGAGACACGGCCCAGACUCCUACGGGAGGCAGCAGUGGGGAAUAUUGGACAAUGGGGGAAACCCUGAUCCAGCCAUGCCGCGUGUGUGAAGAAGGCCUUAUGGUUGUAAAGCACUUUAAGCGAGGAGGAGGCUACUGAGACUAAUACUCUUGGAUAGUGGACGUUACUCGCAGAAUAAGCACCGGCUAACUCUGUGCCAGCCGCCGCAGUAAGAC